UUUUAUUGAAUUUAACUUUUAAGUGAAAAGGCUUAAAUAUUCUAGAGGGACGAUAAGACCCUAUAAAGCUUUAUAAAUUUAAAAAUCUUAUAUAUUUUUAUAUAAAAAUAAUUUUUGAGGAGUUUAUUUGGUUGGGGCGACAGUGGUAUAAGUAAUGUAACUGCUAUAGUGUUUAACAAAAAUAUUUGUUUAGUGUAAGUAAUUGAUCCUUUAUAAGGAUUUUAAGAUCAAGUUACUUUAGGGAUAACAGCGUUAUUUUUUCUGAGAGUUCUUAUCAAAGAAAAAGUUUGCGACCUCGAUGUUGAAUUAAAAUGUCUUUAUAGUGCAGCAGCUAUAAAAGAAGGUCUGUUCGACCUUUAAUAUUUUACAUGAUUUGAGUUCAGACCGGCGGGAGCCAGGUCGGUUUCUAUCUUCUAGAGAUAGUGAGAGUAUCUUAGUACGAAAGGAUUGGGUAGUCAAAAAUUUUUUUUAAAAUGAAGU
rnacentral:rRNA from 1 species